rnacentral:rRNA from 1 species
CCUACGGGAGGCAGCAGUGAGGAAUAUUGGUCAAUGGGCGCGAGUCUGAACCAGCCAAGUCGCGUGAGGGAAGACGGCCCUAUGAAUUGUAAACUUCUUUUGUACGGGAGCAAACGCAGCUACGCGUAGCUGUCUGAAAGUAUCCGACGAAUAAGCAUCGGCUAACUCCGUGCCAGCAGCCGCGGUAAUACGGAGGAUUCAAGCGUUAUCCGGAUUUAUUGGGUUUAAAGGGUGCGGCGGCGGUCGGAUAAGUUAGCGGGGAAAUUUGGGGGCUCAACUUCGGCAGUGCCGUUGAUACUGGUUUGCUAGAGUGGAGUAGCGGUAGGCGGAAUGCAUGGUGUAGCGGUGAAAUGCAUAGAGAUCAUACAGAACACCGAUUGCGAAGGCAGCAUACCAGGGCACAUCUGACGUUGAUGCACGAAAGUGUGGGGAGCAAACAGGAUUAGAUACCCGGGUAGUC